CGAGAACAGCGUCUCCUCCUCCUUCUUUGGAAAAAAAUAGAAUAAAUAUUCUGUAAAUUUUCCAACGUUGUUUUGCACGAGGCAUUAAAAGUGUGUCAAUGCAUAAAUAUUUAACACGAAGCAAUCACAUUGAGCCAGUGGUUGGUUGGUGGGUAUAAACUGGUGACAGAUUUUGCUACUGCUACUAUUUAUUUACUUCCCUUUCUGUUAGCGAGUUAAUUUCAUUUACUUAUUUUAUCGGUGGUGGUAUGCAGUGUGCAGAUACAGAUUAUUAUGAAUUUUGAAAGAAUGGAAUGGCUGAUUCAUGAUGUGGCACCAACGCCAAAGUAAUGCGCACUUGUAGACAAUAACAAACUACCUCAUGUCUUACAAAGUCUAGAAUGGCCUAGAUAAAUUAUUGACAAAUGUGUGAUCAAGUAACAUGAAAGAAGACAAGAUUUUGUUCAAGUCGUUAUCGAAAUUGAGCAGCUAUAUGAUUUGAUUAUUCAGAUGAAUGCUGUUUCCGGAGGGUUCAAAGUCGAAGAGAAUUAUGCAGAGAUUUUCAUGCAAAAUGAAAUAGACUCCGGUAUGAUGGUAGUAUGUAGGAUGGAUGUUAAGUAUAAAUUAAAUCAGUGAUAAGAAAUAUAUUGGAGACAUUCACAUUUUAA